rnacentral:misc_RNA from 1 species
AGGUGUCCGCUGCGAAAUGGGAUGCCAGUGCCUAUGCCAUGCUCCCCCCCCGCUCAUCUUGCGAUGGGGGGCAUGGCAUAGGCACGAGUCGGUCGACGGGUUCGAUGGUCAAUGAUGGGUCCCCCCCGAUCAAAGAAMAAUUGAUCAUCGAUCCGUCGGCCACGGUCAGCUGGGUUGGUAGUGCUGUGUUUAUCUCUUUUGAGAGGAGAGGGACGGUUCAUCUCGGAUUUUGAUUUCUUCCAACGUAUUCAAAGGGCAAGCGGGAACAUGGCUUCGGCUGAUGGAUAAGCGUGAGCUCAGAGAGUACUGCGGUCGGGUCAAGAUUUGAGUUUUAACCUCUCGGGGGAGCGCAACACCGUCUCUACUUUCUCGUCUGGCCAUCGAUGGAGAUUAUUCAUUAUUCUCCAUCCGGUCSUGUCAAAAACUAAAUUUUUGUCCCUUGGUCUGGUGGGCURGUAGUGCGGUGUUGAUCUCUUUCAAGGGGAGAGGGACGGUUCAUCUCGGAUUUUGAUUUCUUCCAACGUAUUCAAAGGGCAAGCGGGAACAUGGCUUCGGCUGAUGGAUAAGCGUGAGCUCAGAGAGUACUGCGGUCGGGUCAAGAUUUGAGUUUUAACCUCUCGGGGGAGGCGCAACACCGUCUCUACUUUCUCGUUUGGCCGUUAAAAAGAUUAUUCAUUAUGCUCCAUAUCAAAACAUCCCGAAAAAAUGCGGAAGAACUAGCAUGCUUCGGCUUGUGCUAACUUGAUGCAUCCUAAGGUUUGUUGCGGUUGGUUGGGUGUAAUGGAGAAUCUUCGGUUUUUUUAAAAUAAUUUUGCUGUCCCUCGGAUUUUUUKWUUGCUGUCCCUCGGAUUUUUUGAUACUUCAUGUGAAGCGGUGCUGUUGUGGUCUAGCUUGAUGUUUCCGCAUGCUCAUCGGUUAUAGUAAUCGUUGGGUUGUGGUUCGUUUGGUUGGGUCAUCAUCAGAUGUACGCAACUCAUGUGUGAGUGGUGGUUGGAUGGCAUGGGUUUGUAAGCUCCUUGCUCAGCGCAACGAAUUGCAAGCUCUCCAUCCUUUUCAUAGUCUUCCCCAAGCAUGGUCAUUUGCCUUGUGGGUAAGAUCGGUAUCCUGUGUUAUCUACCAAUUGAGUGGAAUUCGAUUGAUUUCAUUUCUCUAUUCGUUCGGUACCCUUAGGGGUGUUGGGUGGACGAUAGGCUGACCUCGUGUUCUAGGUACAUCUCGCAUUUUUGUGUGGUUACCAUGGCCCAUGGGGUUACGCUUGUUCUCUCGGAUGCGGAUCGUUAGUUGUGGGCAAGGGGUUACGACCUCCAUUUGUCCAAGCUGUUAUGCAUUUUGUCGAUAGACACGAACGACUGCCGCACUCGUCUUGGCUUUUUUAUAGUUGAAUGGCUGUACAAUGUCCAUGCGAGUGUCGGUGUCGUCAAGGAAUGC